UUUCCCAAAGUUUGCGGAUCGCCACGUUUUGACCACUACAACAAUUGAUGUUAUCUGUUGUACCUGUUUGUUAAAAGUUAUGGUAACAGUCAUUGUGGUCACUAUGCCUUUCAUUUUUGAUACGUAGUUGUGAAUGUAUCACUGUUAGUAUGACCCCAAAAAAAACAAAAAAAAAAAGAUAAAAAUAAUUCACAGUAUAAACC
rnacentral:lncRNA from 1 species